UACGGGGGGGGCAAGCGUUGUUCGGAAUUACUGGGCGUAAAGGGCGCGUAGGCGGCCUACUAAGUCGGACGUGAAAUCCCUCGGCUCAACCGAGGAACUGCGUCCGAUACUGGCAGGCUGGAAUCCGGGAGAGGGAUGUGGAAUUCCAGGUGUAGCGGUGAAAUGCGUAGAUAUCAGGAGGAACACCGGUGGCGAAGGCGGCAUCCUGGACCGAUAUUGACGCUGAGGCGCGAAAGCUAGGGGAGCGAACGGG
rnacentral:rRNA from 1 species